UCAUUGAGAAGCUAGUCAGCACUAACCUUUUAAGUUAGAGAUCGGGAGCCUAAAUCUCCCCUCAAUGGU
rnacentral:tRNA from 1 species